GGGAGUGUAGCUCAGUGGUAGAGCACUUGCCUAGCAUGUGUGAGGCACUGGGUUUGAUUCUCAGCACCA
rnacentral:tRNA from 1 species